GCUUAACUGGCAGUAAAUAUCCAGAGGUCAUAGCUUUUAGCAUAACUUUGAAAAUAAAUGAAAAAAGUAACUGAAUAAAAUCAUUAUUAAUGAUGGAAAAGAAACACAGAAGAUCAGCCUCAUAAUAUUUUAAAGUCAUGUGGUGAGCAGUUUGCUUGACCAUACUCUGUCCAUGCUGUACUACCUCUCCACAGGCUGAGGAAAAGCUGGGCCAAUUGAACAAGGACCAAAGCCUCCUAAACUCACAGGGCUGCAAAGAUGAUGAUCAAACAACUAAUCUAAUGAAGAAGAGGCCAACACUCUGGAGAAGAGAUAAGCCUGCCUGGAAGAGUUGACUACUCCAAGGAAAAACAGGGAAUUCAAUUGAUGAAUAUCAUUCUGUAACUUGUGUGCACACACUUCAUGACCUUGCAACCUGCAGAAAAUAUGUGACUGUGGUCACUAUAAAUUGUGGUAAGUUUGUCAUGACAGGCUCUGGUUUUGUGGCAAACUUUUGGGAGAGCAAUUGAACUGGAACAGAAAUACAGCAACCCAUUUUCCUGGUCCUAAGCCACGUUCUCCAUAGGUCUUUAUCAAUAGAAAAGAUAUUUUGAUUGCCAUCUGCCUGAUUCAUAUUUCUGUUUCCAUUUGCUCAAGUGCACUACAAAUGUUCUUUUUGAACCCCUAAAUACUAAAGUCCAUGGAAUAUUAUAAUUUUGUGACCUUAUUCUUACAUAGGGAGUACUGGUGCCCAGUACAUUUGAAGAGUUAGCCUAAACAUAGAUUUCCUGAUUAAAACAUAUAAGGUGCAAGUUGUGAGCAGGAAUUGUCUGUUUAAAUAGCUCACCAGCAAAACAGGCCUGAUUCUGUACUUUCAGGAUAUGAAUAGCCACAAUAUGAAUGUCUACUUCUCUCAUGGUACUGAACAAAGAGUUUCUUUGCCGAGUUUUUUUACCCCAAUAUUUUAUCUGUGUCUUCCCUUCCACAUUCUCUAGGAGAAAUUAGCUUGAAUAACUUCAAACAUUCUAUGACCUAGAUUAAGAGAAUUGAGUAAAUGCUUUUAUUGGUGCCAAACAAAAUAAAUUCAAUUGUUGAACCACAGAGUACAUAAUGUUAAACCUUAUAGGCUUUUAUUUUUCUCUCCUUUCUAAGGUUAGUUUUACCUAAUCCUCCAGAAAAUGUAUCAGAAGUCCUUUUUAUACUCUACAAAUCCUGAACGAGUUUAUUCAUAAAGUCAAGUACUAGUUCAAGAGUGUUUUUGUUGUGAAAAUGAUUAUAAAGUAGCCACUCUUCAUGUAUUUUAUAAAACUCUCAACUUCUGCUACUUAAAUUACCUGGCUAAUUAGGUCUCCAAUGAGCAGGUGUGUAAACACAUUCAUUUUUAACCUUAAAAAUAAUUUCUAACACUCCUGGGUGCUGUUAAAAUUGCAGUUAAUAAAAAAAAUUGCUUAAGCUUUGUGAGGAUGAUGCAGUUAAUCAGAGAUCUCUAAAGAAAUCUGCUGGGUAGGAACAUAGAACUGUGCAAGCAAAUUUGAAAAUAUUGUAAUCCCAAUGGAUUUCAAUAGAGAAUUUAGUUUCUUAACUUAAAAGUAAGUGGUACUUGUAUCAAUUACAUUAGUUACAUUAAUCACCAAGUUUUCAUACAGAGAAGCAUAGUUAAGCAGAGCAGCUGUUUAAAUUGUUAAGGAUAAUGACUUGCAUAACAUUAUAAGAAUGUGAAACAGUUUUUCCAUUAACAAAAUUAAGGUGAAUUAUAUGUAUCAACUACGGCCCAUAGACAAAGCCUAAGAAAGAAAAAUUCACAAACCAUCACCCUAUUCCUUUUUUCUGUCUCCAGCUACAUCACUAUACCAUUGCAGAAAGUCGCUAGAUGAUCCAUCGCAGAAGCCACUGAUUUAUAAUACACACCAGACGUCUUAACUUUAACGUACAAGUUAUGAAAAACAAAAAAUGCUGUGGUUUAAACCAUUUAUUCAGGAUAAUCUCAUCACAGUAUAAAUGAUUAUAUUGAGGUUCUCUAGCUUGUACCUUUGGAAUUACAGAAUAUAUAAUGAACUUAAUGAAAAAAAUCUUAAUUUGGGAAAUUUCUUAACUAAGCACAGACUAAGAUGUCCCAUUUCCAAAUAAAAUGCAAUCUACAUUUCUAAAUUCAACCUGAUCAAUCAUAGAAUUAAUAGAGAAACAUCAAAACUGUGCUUUGAAAUGUGCAAAACUCAGAGAAUUAAUGUGGAAAUCAAGAAAAGGUAGAAACCACCAUGUACUUCUAAAAUUCUCUUGGAACCUGAAACCUUUACAAAUAGCAGGGACAUUCAAUAUAUCUGGGGGGAAAUCCCAUAGUCAACUAUAUCACAACCCCAAAUCAAAUUUAAACUUCCUGUGCUUCAGCAAUCUUCUCUCAAAGAUUUGAGUCUGAAUGGGAGUAAAGCCUUAUCAGGAUCUACACUGUACUGACUUUGUGUGCAAAGAAAAUUUCUGAAUCAAUGAAUAAUUGUAUAUUUAAAUUAUAAUAGUGUUGCAGCAAGCCUUUAGACUAGAACCUGGAUUAUGGAUUUUUUUCUCAGUAGGACUAUAGUAUUAGAUUGUAAUAAGCAGAGGACCAGACUGUUGAUUCAGAUAUCCAAAAAUAAGGAGGUUCAGGAAGUGGUAAGAAUCAAGGUCAUACAAUUCUGUGAAUGUAGAUGAAAGAGAAAUGAGAAAAGACAGUUGAAGAAUGUUUUUCAUUAUUCACACUGAUCUUAUGACAAUUUCUUUCUAAAUAAUAAAAGCAAAACUCAAGCUGAAUCUGCUUUGCUGAGCAAUGGAAUAUCUUAGACAACUGCCUAGCUCAUUGUGCCUGUCUGCUAAAUGGUGAAAUACAAGGUAGAAGUUCAGAGAGCAGGAAGAGCCUAAAUAUGUAUUUAGUGGAGUUACGGAUAUGAAUGAUGUCAUCCUGAAAUAUUUUAAUGUCCCAAUUCUUUUCUCUUCUCUAGUAUCUUAGAAUCUCAAAAUGACCUCAUAUUAGUCAACUACAUUACACCAGCAAACUCAGCUAAAUGCUAUGAGCCCAUCCUGGAUGAAAACGAUCCAAUCAAACCCAACUUAAAUCACCCUCUUGAAACUCAUUAGCUCUUUGAAGGAUUAUUGUUUUAUGUAACUAAGAUUUCAAACUUUGUUAUACAGCAAGAUAGGUGAUUCAGUAAUGGCACCAGUAAUAUAUUUUGUAACAUAAACUGGAAAUUGCCAGCCAUUGAUUUGUACCUGAACAAUUUUGAAACUUUUAAAAAUAUACCCUGAGCCCACUUUGACCUAUGGAGUAACUGGUUCUGGGACGAUGUCAAUGUUCUGUGUAAGGGUCACAGUCUGCCUUAAUAUUGAGACCUAUUAAUUGAAGCAUAAUAUUUUCUUAAUAAUUGGAAGAGUGUAUUUCUAGAGUGACUACAUAUUUUCUCGCUAUCAUAAUCUGCUAGUAAAGAAAACCAAUUAAGUUUUAUAUUAUGUCUUAAUUUUUCUUAUAGCUAUAAUUUAUUCCCUAACCUGCAAAAACUAGUUAUGCAGGCUGCAGUCUAAAAUAUCACCCAAUUAUAAUGGACAUAAAAUUAUUAUCUUGGAAAAUUGCUACCUGGAAACACAUGGACAGUUAUUUAUAUCUUUUUGAUGAAGGUUAAAUGAGGAUACAAAUAAAUUUAAUCAUAUCACCAAGACAGCCAGAACCUAAUUAUUAAACCAAAAACCCAAAUAAUUUCUGCCCCAGCAAGAAGAAAGGUAUCGUUUCUACUACUCAUUUUCAUAUUCUUCAAUUAUGAUGAUAGCAUUCUGUCUCAUUUUGCUCUUGUUUUUUGUUUUGUUUUCCAAUUUUUCCCUUUUCUUGGAUAUCAUCACUUGGAUGGUACAUUAUUACUGUAUUAAUUUCAGACAAGCCUAAAAUAAUCAUCCUGCAAAGGAAUCUUUACUCUACCCCCCCCACCACUAAAUCUAACUCUCUUUAUGUAAUUACUGAUUUUUAUUUCCCCCAUGGGUAUAAGCAAUGAUAUGGCAACUGUAUUUUGUUAUGCCACCUAUGCUAUAAUUGUGUAUAUUAUGUACUUUAUAAUUAUAUAAUUAUUAUAUGCUGUAUAAUUACUAUUUCAAACUAAAGUAUAUAAUAUUGUAAUAUAUUAUUGCUGUAUUAUAUACCAUCUCCAGUGUGUAUAUAUAUAUAUUAUAUAAUUAAACAAUUAUGUUUCAUUUAUUACAAUUAACAAGUCAUAUUAUCACAGCUCACAAUAUCAAAUGACCAGCAAUUGGGCAUUAAACCCAAGUAGAUUUUUGCCUAAACUCCUCAGUGAAACACCUUUCCCUGUACUACAGUACAUAUUUUUGAUUCCUCACUAUAUGCACUACUUUUAAUGCAACAAAAAUAUUUUAAGGUAUAAAGAAAAAGGAAUAAUGAUUGGAAAUUGUAAAGGUGUACUGAGUCUAGUAUUCUACUUAAAGGCUAUAGCCAUGGUUGAAUACACAACUAAAGUGAUUAAAAGUACAUACUGGAAAUAGAAUCUAGUUAUGGACCGUGACACUGUUGUGGCUAUCAAAAAACCUGAGUACUCUUUGGCUGUAGUGUUAAUCAAGUGUAUGAUUAUGGGAGAAUCAUUUAACUCCAGUUUUCCAGUCUGCAAGGUAAAAGGAGAAGUAUUAGAUUUCAAAUUUGGCCACAUGUUAUUAAUGCUUCCCAGCACUUGGACUUAUACCCUGUCUGGAAGUUAAGGUGUACUGACUGAUAACCAGUACUCUCCUUUAGUGAGGGCAGAAUUGGGGGGUGUCACAUAGAGCAUUGGUUUUCAGAAAGAAGCAGAUGUGUGUUUGGAUUCCAGCUGCACCCCUUCUGGCUGUGGGAUUUGGGCCAAUGUUCUUCACCAUGCCAAGUUUUAGUUCACUCGAUGGUAUAAUGGUGAUGGUAACUUUUUCUCAGAGAAUUCUGGGGAUAAAUAAGACGACAUGGAAAAGCUUCAGAAAGUUAUAUUUUGGCCUCAAUGCUAGUUUCCAUUCCUCUCAUUCUUCUUUUAUCUCUCUGAAGUUUUCACUGUCACCAUUAGUAUUUGUACUUUCUCUAGCCAUUCUAAGUUCAAAUAUUUUUCUAGUUUAUUUAUAUAUUCUUCAGUGGGAACAAGAUCUUUAAUGAUCAGCUUUCAAGGCUUCCCCUAUAAGUCUGCUGACUGCCUGUGAAAAAAUUCUGUAACUAUAAUUACAAAAUUUAAUUGUCUUCCAGUUAUCACCUCAUAACUCUAUAACUCAUUCCUUACAUGUAUAGCAGACAACAUAAAAUUCCAUGAACCUGUUCCUAGUCUUUUACUUCUUAUUUUAAUUGGAUAUUACAGUCAUCUAAAGAAUUAAAAUUUCAAUCACCUGUAAUGCUCUUAUGCUACUCUUCUCCUUAUAAACAAUAAAUUGUAAUUGAUUUUCCUAGCUCCAUGCUCCCUUCUAUCUUCACCCCCCUUCUACCCACCUAUUACUACACAUAACUUUUACAGAAAUAAAGGUGCAAGAAAAAAGUGAAGAUAGAAGGAAAAAUGGAAGCAAAGCUUUUGUACAUGGGGGGAAUGGGAUAAAAUAGAAUAAAAUUUAAUAAAAAAGCACAAAGAAUAACUUUUAAAAUGGCUGAAAUCCAAUUCAAAGAAGAAAACAUUAUUUUAAAAAUUCAUAAAUCAAUGAAUAUAAAAUUCCAAAUGGUAGAUUUUGUUUCAGACAUUUUUUUUGAAACUACACUCCUAAAACUAGCACCCAGGCUCCUUUUUCUUUGCAUUGCUCUUUUCUUUUUUCCUCUUGCUUGAUUUGCUUCAUAAGUUGCCUUUCCUAUUGUGGUAACAAAGAUAUUAGUAGGAGCACUAGAACCACAUGAAAUGUAUGCCAAAGUCUGCUAAAAAGAAGAGUUUACUUAACAUAAGUUUAAUAAGGUCCCACAAAAAAUCCUGAUUAUUCUGGUUUAUUCUUACUUUUGCUUCUAUUCUAGAGAAUGAAGAGAUAUCUGGCAGCAGGAAAGUCUGCCCUUCCAAAAUCACAAAGAGCAUACAACAAAAGUUUUAAUUGUUCAUAUAUAUCCAAGUUCUGAAGACUUUAAUCCAUUUGUCUUGUGGAGGAGUGAGUUACUCCAGAGAUAUUACUUCAUUAGAGGUCCUUACACAUGAAAACAGAUGAAUUAUCAGAAAUGGAAUGCCCAAAUCCCUCAAAAAAAUCUCAUUAAUCUAAUAUGAUUUAUGAAAUUCCUCUUAUCUCUCUUCUGAAACAAGUUGAGCUGGGUGUGGUUGCAGCAUUUGUAAUCUCAGCCCUUGGGAGGCUAAAAUGAGAAGAUUCCUUUUAGUUCAUGACUGUCCUGGACUACAUAGUGAAUUCAUAGCCAGUGUAGAGUACAUAGCUAGACCCUGUUUCAGAAACAAACAAAUAAAAAUAUUCAAACAAAACAACAAAAACCUUCUAAUUUCAGUUGAAGAAAAAAGACCCUCAAUUGCAUUCAUAUUAUUCAAUUAAUCAUAUUUGGAUGUAUAGAAAUCCUGUAUCACUGUGAUUCAAAGUGGCCUCGCUGUUAUCUGGUUAAACGAAACAGAAUAGAAUUCAAAUGUUUUUUGUUUGUCUAUUGAGAUGACUAUGUGAUUUUUCUCCUUUCUUCUGUUUAUGUGGUAUAUUUAUUGACUGGUAUAUGUUGAAUCAUCCCUACAUCCCUGGAAUGAAUCCUAAUUAGUAAUGAUGUAUUAUUUUUUUUUAAAUAUUUGGUGCAUUCUGUUUUCCAGUAUCUUAUUUAGGAUUUUCACAUCUGUGUACAUUAAAGAGAUUUGCCUGUAGUUCUCUUUUUUGGUUGAGUCCUUUUCUGGUUUUGGAAUCAGGUUUUUACUUGCUUCCAGGAAUGACUUUGAAAGUACUGUUUCCCUUAGAUUUCAUUAAAGAGUUUGAGGAGUACUGGCAUUAGAUCUUCUCUAAAGUUCUUGUAGUAUUUGUCACUGGUUUGUCAGAACCUUGGCUUUUCUUAGUUCUUCAAUUUCACUGAUUGAUAUUGGCUUAUUUAGGAUUUUUAUAAUGCUUUUGACAAAACCCCACAUCCAUUUAUGAUUUAAAAAACACUGAAAAAAUAGAAAUAUAAAGUCUUUAUCUCAACAUGAUAAAAACCAUCUAUGACAAAAUAACACCUAACAUCAUACUAAAUGGACAGAAGUUGAAAGUUUUCCCUCUAAAAUCACUAUAAAGACAAAAAUGUCUGUGAUCACCACUUCUGUUUAAUAUAAUUCUCAAAAUAUUAGCGAUAAGAUAAGAGAAAGAAUUAAAAGGUAUAUGGAUAGGAAAGAAAGAUGCUACAUUAUCAUUAUUUUCUUAUGACAUGAUACUCUACAUAGAAGACCCCUCAAACUAGACCAAAAGACUCCUAGAAGUAAUAUCCAAAUUCAGCAGUGGAGCGAGAUACAAAGUCAACCCUCAAAAAUCAAUACCAUUCCUGCACACCAAUAGCAAACUCCAUGAGAGGGAAGCUUGAAACAAUACCCUUCUCAGUAGCAUAGAGAAAAAUGCAUACUUAGAAAUUAUUCUAACCAAGGAAGUGAAGACCUUUACAAUCAAAACUAUAGUACUCUUCAAAAAGAGAUAGAAGAGGAUAUCAUAAGAUGAAAAGAUAUUCUCUGUUCCAGGACAAGCAGAACAAAUAUAGACAAAAUGAUUGUACUUCUAAAAUCAUUAUAUAGAUUUAAAAUAAUUCAAAUCAAAAUACCAAUAAUGUUCCUUACAGAACUCAGGAAGCAACUGUAAAAUUCAUAUAGAACCAGAAGAGACCUAGAAUACUAAAAGCAGUUCUGGGGAAUGAGGGAAAGGCAGGAGGCACCACAAUCUCAGACAUGAAAUUAUAUUACAAGGCUAUAGUGAUAAAAACAGCAUGGUAUUGGGAAAAAACACAGAUUCAUGGAUCAAUGGAACAGAAUAAAGAUACAGAAACAACUCCAGACACGUAACUAUAUUAUUUUUGACAAAGGGCCCAAAUCUCGUUUCUUGAGGAAAUGUAGUCUCUUCAACAAAUGGUGUUGGGGAAACUGGCUAUUCAUGUGUCAAAGAUUGAACCUAAUCCCAUAUAUCUCACUAAACUAAACUAAAUUAAACUAAACUAAACUCAAAACUGUACUAAACUGAAAUAAAAAUGGAUCAAAGAUCUAAACAUUAGAACAGAAACACUUAAUCUGCUGGAAGACAAAAUAGGUAAAACUCUUGAAGACAUAGGUGUAGGCAAAGACUUUGUGAACAAAACCUCAGUUGCAUAUGAAAUUAUACCAAGAAUCAACAAAAGGGAUCACAUCAAAUUAAAAAUCUUCUGCACAGCAAAUGAAAGUACUAACAAAAUGAGGAGACAACCCACAAAAUGGGAAAAAUUUUGCCAGCUAUGCAUCAAAGUACUAAUGUGUAGAAUACAAAAAGAAAGCCAAAAAUUAGACCCUCAAAAUUUAAGGACCCAAUUAAAAAUGGGCAUCUGAAAUUAAUAGACAUUUAUCAGAUGAAGAAAUACAAAUGUCCAAUAAAUGCAUGAAAAAACAUUCAACAUCAAUGCUGUUCAAGAAAUGCAAGUGAGAACAAUGCUAAGAUUCCAUCUUCGUACAAAAAGAAUGGCUGUCAUCAAGAAAUUAAUCAAUAACAAAUGCUGGUUAGGCUGUGGGGAGAAAUUAAAGCUUCUCCAUUGUUGGUGGGACUGAUAAAAUCACUCUGGAAAUCAGUAUAAAGAUCCAUCAAAGACCUAAAAGUAGGUUUUUGACCCAAUUAUCACCCUUCUAGGUAUCUUCUUAAAAGAGUUAAAAACAGGGCUGGGGAUUUAGCUCAGUGGUUCCAGCACCUGUCUCACAAGCACAAGACCCUGAGUUCUAUCCCCAGUACCAAAAAAAAAAAAAAAGAGAGAGAUAAAAACAUUGUAUCACAGUGAUGUAUGCAUGUAUGCAUACCGAUGUUUUUCACAGCACAAUUCAUAAGAGCUAAAUCUUGGAAACAGCUUAUAGAGUAUGUCCAUCAAGAGAUGAAUGGAAUAAAAAAAUGUGUUAUUUAUGCACAGAGAAGCACUGCUUUGUAGUAAAAAAGCAUAAACUCGAAUCAUCUUUAGGAAAAUGGAUGCACCUUGAGACCAUAAUGUUAAAUGAAAUAACUCAGACACACAAACUUAAAUAUUGCAUGGUUUCUCUGAAAAAUCCUUUCUGUUUCAAUAGAUAGAUAGAUAGAUAGAUAGACAGAUAAAAAGGAGAAAUUUUAAAAAUGCAUUGAAAUCCAGUGUGGACAGUGUAUCUAAAGUGUACCUUGAUUUAAUACAAUUGUCUUACAUAUUUUAUAUGAACUUUGGGCUCUUAGUCUGUUUUUCAAUUCGUUUAUAUGAUAAUUAGCUUUAUAAGGUCUUAUAAACAAAUGAAUCUUGUGCUGAAAAAAUAGAAGGUGGAUGGAGGGGGGCAAAAUUGAGACUUGAAAUGUGUUAUGUGCAUGUACCAAUCCCCUACAGUGAAUGUAAUCAUUAUGUACCACAAACAUGUACUAAAGAAAGCCAAGAAAAAAAACCUCCUGUCACCUUAAGGAGCUAUGUAAAUCAUCUACAGCAGUAGGGGCACAUAUAAAGAUUAUAUACAUAGGCCUGGGGUUUUAGCUCAGUGGUUAUGCCACCUUUCUUGAAAGUGCAAGGACCCAAAUUCAAUCCCCGGUACCAAAAAAAAAAAAAAUCUCAAGAUACA
rnacentral:lncRNA from 1 species